AGCGAACGCUGGCGGCAGGCCUAACACAUGCAAGUCGAACGAUCCUUCGGGAUAGUGGCGGACGGGUGAGUAACACGUGGGAACGUGCCCUUUGGUUCGGAACAACUCAGGGAAACUUGAGCUAAUACCGAAUGUGCCCUUCGGGGGAAAGAUUUAUCGCCAUUGGAGCGGCCCGCGUCUGAUUAGCUAGUUGGUGAGUUAAAGGCUCACCAAGGCGACGAUCAGUAGCUGGUCUGAGAGGAUGAUCAGCCACAUUGGGACUGAGACACGGCCCAAACUCCUACGGGAGGCAGCAGUGGGGAAUCUUGCGCAAUGGGCGAAAGCCUGACGCAGCCAUGCCGCGUGAAUGAUGAAGGUCUUAGGAUUGUAAAAUUCUUUCACCGGGGACGAUAAUGACGGUACCCGGAGAAGAAGCCCCGGCUAACUUCGUGCCAGCCGCCGCGGUAAGAC
rnacentral:rRNA from 1 species